AUUGAACGCUGGCGGCAUGCCUUACACAUGCAAGUCGAACGGUAACGGGUCCUUCGGGAUGCCGACGAGUGGCGAACGGGUGAGUAAUAUAUCGGAACGCACCCAGAAGUGGGGGAUAACGUAGCGAAAGUUACGCUAAUACCGCAUACGUUCUACGGAAGAAAGUGGGGGAUCGCAAGACCUCAUGCUUUUGGAGCGGCCGAUGUCUGAUUAGCUAGUUGGUGAGGUAAAGGCUCACCAAGGCGACGAUCAGUAGCUGGUCUGAGAGGACGACCAGCCACACUGGGACUGAGACACGGCCCAGACUCCUACGGGAGGCAGCAGUGGGGAAUUUUGGACAAUGGGGGCAACCCUGAUCCAGCAAUGCCGCGUGAGUGAAGAAGGCCUUCGGGUUGUAAAGCUCUUUUGUCAGGGAAGAAACGGUAGUAGCUAAUAUCUAUUACUAAUGACGGUACCUGAAGAAUAAGCACCGGCUAACUACGUGCCAGCCGCCGCUGUAACAC
rnacentral:rRNA from 1 species